rnacentral:rRNA from 1 species
GACGAACGCUGGCGGCGUGCUUAACACAUGCAAGUCGAGCGGUAAGGCCCUUUCGGGGGUACACGAGCGGCGAACGGGUGAGUAACACGUGGGUGACCUGCCCUCAGCUCUGGGAUAAGCCUGGGAAACCGGGUCUAAUACUGGAUAUGACUCCAUGACGCAUGUUGUGGGGUGGAAAGCCUUGUGCGGCUGAGGAUGGGCCCGCGGCCUAUCAGCUUGUUGGUGGGGUGAUGGCCUACCAAGGCGACGACGGGUAGCCGGCCUGAGAGGGCGACCGGCCACACUGGGACUGAGACACGGCCCAGACUCCUACGGGAGGCAGCAGUGGGGAAUCUUGCGCAAUGGGCGAAAGCCCGACGCAGCGACGCCGCGUGAGGGAUGACGGCCUGGUGU